UACGUAGGGCGCAAGCGUUAUCCGGAAUUAUUGGGCGUAAAGCGUGCGCAGGCGGUUCGUUGUGUCGGUGGUGAAAUCCCCGGGCUUAACCUGGGAAUGGCCAUGGAAACUGGCGAACUGGAGUGCGGCAGAGGGGGGUGGAAUUCCGCGUGUAGCAGUGAAAUGCGUAGAGAUGCGGAGGAACACCGAUGGCGAAGGCAGCCCCCUGGGCUAGCACUGACGCUCAGGCACGAAAGCGUGGGGAGCAAACAGG
rnacentral:rRNA from 1 species